UGAGCUUUAAGUUAAAUAAAACUAUUAUCCUUCAAAGAUAAAAUUGGUGAAAUAUCAAGCUUUA
rnacentral:tRNA from 1 species